ACGCACGCUGGCGGCGUGCUUAACACAUGCAAGUCGAACGGAAAGGCCCUGCUUUUGUGGGGUGCUCGCGUGGCGAACGGGUGAGUAACACGUGAGUAACCUGCCCUUGACUUUGGGAUAACUUCAGGAAACUGGGGCUAAUACCGGAUAGGAGCUCCUGCUGCAUGGUGGGGGUUGGAAAGUUUCGGCGGUUGGGGAUGGACUCGCGGCUUAUCAGCUUGUUGGUGGGGUAGUGGCUUACCAAGGCUUUGACGGGUAGCCGGCCUGGGAGGGUGACCGGCCACAUUGGGACUGAGAUACGGCCCAGACUCCUACGGGAGGCAGCAGUGGGGAAUAUUGCACAAUGGGCGGAAGCCUGAUGCAGCAACGCCGCGUGCGGGAUGACGGCCUUCGGGUUGUAAACCGCUUUCGCCUGUGACGAAGCGUGAGUGACGGUAAUGGGUAAAGAAGCACCGGCUAACUACGUG
rnacentral:rRNA from 1 species